rnacentral:rRNA from 1 species
GACGAACGCUGGCGGCGUGCUUAACACAUGCAAGUCGAACGAUGAAGCUGGAGCUUGCUCCGGUGGAUUAGUGGCGAACGGGUGAGUAACACGUGAGCAAUCUGCCCUUGACUCUGGGAUAACUGCGGGAAACUGUAGCUAAUACCGGAUACGAGACUUGGAGGCAUCUCCAGGUCUGGAAAGAAUUUCGGUCAAGGAUGAGCUCGCGGCCUAUCAGCUAGUUGGUGAGGUAAUGGCUCACCAAGGCGACGACGGGUAGCCGGCCUGAGAGGGUGACCGGCCACACUGGGACUGAGACACGGACCAGACUCCUACGGGAGGCAGCAGUGGGGAAUUUUCCGCAAUGGGCGAAAGCCUGACGGAGGCAAUACCGCGUGAGGGAAGACUGCCUAUGGGUUGUAAACCUCUUUUUUUCAGGGUAGGAAUAAAUGACGUGUACCUGAAGAAUAAGCAUCGGCUAACUCCGUGCCAGCAGCCGCGGU